GGGGGAGGCAAGCGUUGUUCGGAAUUAUUGGGCGUAAAGAGCGCGUAGGUGGCUUUUCAAGUCAUAUGUGAAAACCUCAGGCUUAACUUGAGGAUUGCAUGUGAAACUGGAAAACUUGAGUGCAGUAGAGGAAAGUGGAAUUCCUGGUGUAGCGGUGAAAUGCGCAGAUAUCAGGAAGAACACCAGUGGCGAAGGCGGCUUUCUGGGCUGCUACUGACGCUGAGGCGCGAAAGCUAGGGGGGGAGCGAACAGGAUUAGAUACCCUGGUAGUCCUAGCUGUAAACGAUGGACACUAGGCGUGGGAAGUUAUCGACGCUUUCCGUGCCGAAGCUAACGCAUUAAGUGUCCCCGCCUGGGAGUACGGCCGCAAGGCUA
rnacentral:rRNA from 1 species